UACGUAGGGAGCGAGCGUUGUCCGGAUUCAUUGGGCGUAAAGAGCGCGCAGGCGGUUUGGUAAGUCGGAUGUGAAAACCCGGGGCUCAACCCCGGGCGUGCAUCUCGAUACUGCCCGACUAGAGGUAGGUAGGGGAGAUCGGAAUUCCUGGUGUAGCGGUGAAAUGCGCAGAUAUCAGGAGGAACACCGGUGGCGAAGGCGGAUCUCUGGGCCUUACCUGACGCUCAGGCGCGAAAGCUAGGGGAGCGAACAGG
rnacentral:rRNA from 1 species